AGGCUCGGCGUUGGCCUCCGCGGCCCGUGCGAGUGCGCCCUUCUCGGGUCCCCUAGGUCGCGGGACAGCCGGGGCGGAAGGGCUUGUUCAUUAUUUUGAGAGUUUGUUGUGAACGUCAUAACCCUUCGUCCUUAAAUAUUGCCGAUACUUGACCUACGCAAGAGACAAUGUCAUGUGAUUCAGCCUAAUAUCUCAGAGGAUGCAGCAUUCAAGGUUCUAUCUUGGAAGCAGAGACUGUGCCCUCACCAGAUGCUGAACCUGCUGAGCACCCUGAUCUUCCACUUCACCUUCAUCAGAACUACUGGGGCUGUGGCUGAGAUGUCACAUGGGAGAUAGGAUCACAAAUUUCUGUUGUAUCUGGAUGGAGAUCAGCAGGAGGAUCUAUGGACUGUUUGCUGUGAUUGCACCUGCCAUCUUAUGCAGAAAUGACCUGAAGACAGAUUGAAACAACGUGUUCUACAGCCUGAAAAUAUCUACCUUGACUUACAGUUUUAUUAAUGCUGGUGUGAUCAGACUGGACAAAAAUUAGCAUAUGUUAUUAACUAAUCUAAUUCAAAUGCCAAUUCUUAAUAGAAACACAAAACAAUAAAAGCAAUUCAGAAAAUA
rnacentral:lncRNA from 1 species